GGCGNUUUAGUAAGUCUGAAGUUAAAGGCAUUGGCUCAACCAAUGUAUGCUUUGGAAACUGUUAGACUUGAGUGCAGAAGGGGAGAGUGGAAUUCCAUGUAUAGCGGUGAAAUGCGUAGAUAUAUGGAGGAACACCGGUGGCGAAAGCGGCUCUCUGNUCUGUCACUGACGCUGAGGCUCGAAAGCGUGGGUAGCGAACAGGAUUAGAUACCCUGGUAGUNCACGCCGUAAACGCUGAGUGCUAGGUGUUAGGUCCUUUCCGGGACUUAGUGCCGACGCUAACGCAUUAAGCACUCCGCCUGGGGAGUACGACCGCAAGGUUGAAACUCAAAGGAAUUGACGGGGGCCCGCACAGGCGGUGGAGCAUGUGGUUUAAUUCGAAGCAACGCGAAGAACCUUACCAGGUCUUGACAUCCCGAUGCCCGCUCUAGAGAUAGAGUUUUUCUUCGGAACAUCGGAGACAGGUGGUGCAUGGUUGUCGUCAGCUCGUGUCGUGAGAUGUUGGGUUAAGUCCCGCAACGAGCGCAACCCUUAUUGUUAGUUGCCAUCAUUAAGUUGGGCACUCUAGCGAGACUGCCGGUAAUAAACCGGAGGAAGGUGGGGAUGACGUCAAAUCAUCAUGCCCCUUAUGACCUGGGCUACACACGUGCUACAAUGGUUGGUACAACGAGUCGCAAGCCGGUGACGGCAAGCUAAUCUCUGAAAGCCAAUCUCAGUUCGGAUUGUAGGCUGCAACUCGCCUACAUGAAGUCGGAAUCGCUAGUAAUCGCGGAUCAGCACGCCGCGGUGAAUACGUUCCCGGGCCUUGUACACACCGCCCGUCACACCACGAGAGUUUGUAACACCCAAAGUCG
rnacentral:rRNA from 1 species